AUUGAACGCUGGCGACAUGCCUUACACAUGCAAGUCGAACGGCAGCACGGGUGCUUGCACCUGGUGGCGAGUGGCGAACGGGUGAGUAAUACAUCGGAACAUGUCCUGUAGUGGGGGAUAGCCCGGCGAAAGCCGGAUUAAUACCGCAUACGAUCUACGGAUGAAAGCGGGGGACCUUCGGGCCUCGCGCUAUAGGGUUGGCCGAUGGCUGAUUAGCUAGUUGGUGGGGUAAAGGCCUACCAAGGCGACGAUCAGUAGCUGGUCUGAGAGGACGAGCAGCCACACUAGGACUGAGACACGGCCCAGACUCCUACGGGAGGCAGCAGUGGGGAAUUUUGGACAAUGGGCGAAAGCCUGAUCCAGCAAUGCCGCGUGUGUGAAGAAGGCCUUCGGGUUGUAAAGCACUUUUGUCCGGAAAGAAAUCCUUGGCCCUAAUACGGUCGGGGGAUGACGGUACCGGAAGAAUAAGCACCGGCUAACUACGUG
rnacentral:rRNA from 1 species